rnacentral:rRNA from 1 species
AGAGUUUGAUCCUGGCUCAGGAUGAACGCUAGCGGCGCGCUUAACGCAUGCAAGUCGAGCGAUGAGGCUCCCUUCGGGGGGUACAUCAGCGGCAGACGGGUGAGUAACACGUAGGUAACCUGCCCUCAAGACGGGGAUAACGCCUGGAAACGGGCGCUAAUACCGGAUGACCUUAGUUGGGGAAGCACCGGCUAAGGAAAGGCUUUGGCGCUUGAGGAGGGGCCUGCGGCCCAUCAGUUAGUUGGUAGGGUAACGGCCUACCAAGGCGAAGACGGGUAGGGGGUGUGAGAGCACGGCCCCCCACACUGGGACUGAGACACGGCCCAGACUCCUACGGGAGGCAGCAGCGGGGAAUAUUGCGCAAUGGACGGAAGUCAGACGCAGCGACGCCGCGUGGGUGAAGAAGGCCUUCGGGUUGUAAAGCCCUUUUCUGUGGGAAGAGGAAGGACGGUACCAUAGGAAUAAGCGUCGGCUAACUACGUGCCAGCAGCCGCGGUAAGACGUAGGACGCGAGCGUUAUCCGGAUUUACUGGGCGUAAAGCGUGUGUAGGCGGCGUGACAAGUUGGGCGUGAAAGCCCCGUGCUCAACGCGGGGAGGCCGCACAAUACUGUCAGGCUAGAGGGCAUCAGAGGGGUGUGGAAUUCCCGGAGUAGCGGUAAAAUGCGCAGAUAUCGGGAGGAACACCGGUGGCGAAAGCGGCACCCUGGGGUGCACCUGACGCUGAGAGACGACAGCUAGGGGAGCGAACAGGAUUAGAGACCCUGGUAGUCCUAGCCGUAAACGAUGGGUGCUAGGUGUGGGAGUGAAGAACUUCUGUGCCGCAGCGAACGCGAUAAGCAU